AGCCUUCUUAAAUCUCGGAGGACCAAAAAUAUGGUGUCAAUCACAGGUAUGACUUCACUCAGUGAAAGGGAGGAGCUGCUUUGAUUCUUGCAAAACAUUAGGGUGGAGCAAUGACAGCAUGUUUUGCCUCACAAAUUGGCUUCCACAAAGACGAACAAAAGCAGAUGUCGCUCCACUGCCUUAGCUAUCUCGACUUUGUCCCACUUUAUGGCUCUGUCUUAAGCAGGGAAAAGAAAAUGACUGCUCUGAAAAUGGACUCAACUCCUGUCAUCGGUAUCUCCACAUCUGCUUCUAUCGUGAUGGACAAGUCUCGUGCACACGAACCCUUCAAAAACAAUCCACAUAAACCUAUGACACACUGAUCUCCUUGGGAACAUUCCCUUGUGUCUUCAACAAUACUCCUGUAUCCCAGGCUUCCAGCAGCUUGAAGUCUCUGGCAGCUGGACUGUCCAGUGGCUCAAUUUCUGACUCAUUCUUUAUUGGAGCUGUAACGAUCUCCAUAUGUCUGGGAUCUUUGGAAGGGAUGCAGGGGUUUCACAGAACAAGCCUCGGUGGAUUAUACCCUUAACUCUUUGCAAACAGCUCCAUGGUAUCCACUAGAUGUGCACUUACUGGCAUUGUUGCUACAGCUCCUGAAACAGCUCCUGCAGUGGCCAGGGAUGGGCAGUCACCAGAGGCCUGCAGGACGGACAUACCAGUCCCUGGAAUUCGGACAGCCACACCUGCUCCUCGACUUCCACCAGCCGAAUUUUC
rnacentral:lncRNA from 1 species